AGGGGGCGGACGGCGGCAGCCACAGCAAAUCCACCGCGCUCUCGUCCCGUCGAUCCAACGAAACGCGCCAACCAAACAACGCGACCCCGCGGCGCCCCGUCGCGCCCGCCCUGUCCGAGCCUCCGAUCGGCUCGCCUGUCCCGCCGGCCCGGAUGGCGGAGUCCGCGGCGCCCAAGCCGCCGGCGGCGGCGGCGGGGAGGAAGACGCGGGUGGGGCCGUACGAGCUCGGGAAGACCAUCGGGGAGGGGAGCUUCGCCAAGGUCAAGCACGCGCGCGACUCCCGCACCGGCGCCGUCUGCGCCAUCAAGGUGCUCGACCGCAACCACGUCCUCCGGCACAAGAUGGUCGAGCAGAUCAAACGGGAGAUUUCGACUAUGAAGCUAAUCAAACAUCCCAAUGUGGUCCAGUUGCAUGAGGUUAUGGCUAGCAAAACAAAGAUAUACAUGGUUCUUGAAUUUGCUGAAGGAGGGGAGCUAUUUGAUAAAAUUGUCAAUUCUGGGAGGCUGGGUGAAGAUGAAGCAAGGAGAUACUUUCAUCAACUUAUAAAUGCGGUUGAUUACUGCCAUAGUCGAGGAGUUUACCAUAGAGACCUGAAGCCAGAAAAUUUGCUUCUUGAUUCACAUGGAUCCCUUAAAGUUUCAGACUUCGGACUGAGUGCCUUCGCACCACAAACAAAAGAGGAUGGGCUUCUGCAUACUGCUUGUGGAACGCCAAACUAUGUUGCACCUGAGGUGCUUGCCGAUAAAGGUUAUGAUGGUAUGGCUGCUGAUGUAUGGUCCUGUGGCAUAAUCCUAUUUGUUCUUAUGGCCGGAUAUUUACCCUUUGAUGAUUCCAAUCUUUCGAGGCUGUACAAACUGAUCUGCCAGGCAAAUUUUUCUUGUCCGCCAUGGUUCUCUCCCAGUGCAAAGAAAUUCAUUAAGCGCAUUAUUGAUCCUAAUCCUGAAACGAGGAUAACAAUUGCAGAAAUUUUGAAAGAUGAAUGGUUCAAAAAGGACUAUAAGCCACCACGUUUUGAACAAGGUGAAGAUGUUAGCCUUGAUGAUGUUGAUGCUGCAUUCAAUGAUUCAGAGGAAUAUCUUGUGGCGGAGAAAAGGGAGAGACCAGAAUCCAUGAAUGCAUUUGCUCUUAUUUCAAGAUCACAGGGCUUCAACCUUGGAAAUCUUUUUGAGAAGGAGAUGAUGGGAACGGUAAAGCGGGAAACAUCCUUUACAUCUCAAUGUACGGCACAAGAGAUCAUGUCUAAAAUAGAAGAGGCUUGUGGACCACUUGGUUUCAAUGUGCGGAAGCAAAAUUAUAAGAUGAAAUUGAAAGGUGAUAAGACUGGAAGAAAAGGUCAUUUGUCUGUAGCAACGGAGGUUUUUGAGGUUGCUCCAUCGCUUCACAUGGUUGAGCUUCGUAAAACUGGAGGAGACACAUUGGAGUUUCACAAUUUCUACAAGAAUUUCUCGUCAGAGUUGAAAGAUAUAGUGUGGAAUGCUGAAUCUGACGCAAGUAAGAAACAGGCAAAGUAAUUCCAACGGGACCUGUUGUGUAUCUUCAAAGGCCGCAUUUGUAGGCCGUCUGUUCGAAUGGUACCGCAUUAGCGGUCAAAAUCUUUCUGGAGUAAAAGAGGGCGCCUUUUUAAUGAGCGCGAUUGUACACAUACAUAUGACGAGGCCCUCCCUGGGAUCCUGGCAUCCUGGUAAUAUUGUAACGGCAAUAUGUAUGGGAUGUAAAGUAGGUAUCCUGAAUGCUUCGGUUGCCACCAGGGCUGAGUGUGCCUUUAUUCAGUUUCAAGGUUCUCUCGUCCAGGUCCAGCGAAUUUUCAGCGGGCUCAGCCGGAUGUGACCCCUGCUCUGCGCACAUAAAUGGUUAGAAUUUUGUUUGCUUACGGUAAACCGACCUUUAUCUUGGCGCCCCUGGAGUAGUUGCCUCUGGUAUGACCAAGUGUACAUGUACCCUGCUGGAUACGGUAUCAGGGCAGUCUGAAUGUGUAAGAUAAUCCACCGUGACUCAAGUUGGUGAACCCUGGAGCUAGGACCUGCACGGGAGUUGCAGAACUCGUUAUGCCUGAACUCGAUGGAGGUGAAGACCACUGAAAGUGAAGCUGCAGCUACCUGCCGCUGGAGGUGGACACUUCGGGACUUAACAAGUAAAAUUACUGCAAAUGCAGGUGUUCGUCGGUGGUUCUGGUAGGAAUUCGAUAGGCUUCAAAAGCUGCAACCUCUCCCAAUCAAAGCCUAAGGAUGGUUUUUUUUUUCACCACAGGCUUGGCUCCUUCAAAUAGGCUAAUUUUACUGUCUUUAGAGGUACCGCUAAAUUUAACCAGACAGUAAAAAGGACUAUUGAAAAUAGAGAAAUUUUACGAAAAAAGUUCAAGGUAAAAAUACCUGAAAGUACCCAUUGGUACUUUACAAUCAUUAUAAAAGAGCUCUUGAAAAUAACAUGUUUUGGUGCCAUUAGCAGUGCAGGACUACAAUUGCCAGAUUUGACAAGGUUAUUGAGGUUGCGACCACAGUGUUAGGGUGUACUUCUGAUAAUGGAAUAAAGGGUGGUCUUGGUCUUUCUCAUCUUCAUUUCUAAUUUCAUUAAAUAAGGCUAUGUUUAGCAUUGCUUUAGCUAAUUAGCUUCACUUGUCUUCUUCUGUUUCAGGAUAGGUGGCUGGUUAAAAGCAGCUCUGUAGGAGCAAUAAGAACAAAAAUUCACCAUUUAAAAAAAAACAUUUCGACAAAUGCAAAACGAUAUUUUAAGGAAGUCGGUAUGUUUCUUUUUGGAGACGAUAUAUGUAUGUCUACAUCUAUGAUC